UACGAAGGGGGCUAGCGUUGCUCGGAUUUACUGGGCGUAAAGGGCGCGUAGGCGGACAGUUAAGUUGGGGGUGAAAGCCCGGGGCUCAACCUCGGAAUUGCCUUCAAUACUGGCUGUCUUGAGUGUGAGAGAGGUGUGUGGAACUCCGAGUGUAGAGGUGAAAUUCGUAGAUAUUGGGAAGAACACCGGUGGCGAAGGCGGCUCACUGGCCCGUUUCUGACGCUCAGGCGCGACAGCGUGGGGAUCAAACAGG
rnacentral:rRNA from 1 species